rnacentral:rRNA from 1 species
GGGAGCCUGAGAAACGGCUACCACAUCCAAGGAUGGCAGCAGGCGCGCAAAUUACCCAAUCCCGACACGGGGAGGUAGUGACAAUAAAUAACAAUACGGGGUUCUUUUGGAUCUCGUAAUUGGAAAGAGUACAAUUUAAAUCUCUUAACGAGGAACAAUUGGAGGGCAAGUCUGGUGCCAGCAGCCGCGGUAAUUCCAGCUCCAAUAGCGUAUAUUAAAGUUGUUGCAGCUAAAAAGCUCGUAGUUGAAUUUCGGGGUUAGUAGGUUGGUCAUGCCUCCGGUAUGUACUGAUCUCACUGAUUCCUCCUUCCUUAUGAACCGUAAUGCCAUUAAUUUGGUGUUGCGGGGAAUUUGGACUGUUACUUUGAAAAAAUUAGAGUGUUUAAAGCAGGCUAACGCUUGAAUGCAUUAGCAUGGAAUAAUGAAAUAGGACGUUCGAUCUUAUUUUGUUGGUUUCUAGGAUUGACGUAAUGAUUAAUAGGGAUAGUUGGGGGCAUUAGUAUUCAAUUGUCAGAGGUGAAAUUCUUGGAUUUAUUGAAGACUAACUACUGCGAAAGCAUUUGCCAAGGAUGUUUUCAUUAAUCAAGAACGAAAGUUAGGGGAUCGAAGACGAUCAGAUACCGUCGUAGUCUUAACCAUAAACUAUGCCGACUAGGGAUCGGAUGAUGUUAAUUUUUUAAUGACUCAUUCGGCGCCUUACGGGAAACCA